rnacentral:lncRNA from 1 species
CCCUAUAAGAGGUCUUGGGUCGGGCAUCCGGCCACUCUCCUGCCUGGGCUGCUGCUCAACCGGGGCUGGGGUGGGGGCCGGUGUCUGUCCAGUGAUUCAGCCACAUGUGAUAGAUGACCAAGUGACUGCUUUCUUGGGGUCCGCACACCAGUGGAAGACAGUCAAACUGGUUGUGACAGACUUGAUCAAACUCUGGGCUUCCUGAACUGGAAUGAAAUGCAGAUAACUCUUUAGAAAACUUUUGUAGGAAAAGCGCCUCGUGUGAUCUGGAACAAAGACGUUUUAUAAUCAGAUUUAUCAAGCUGCGAGGAGGGAGUUUUAGUGAACGGAAGCAGCAGCAUUCUGUCACCAGGAAAUACUCCUUUAUCCAGAAUUGUUCUGGAUAUUUUCUGGAGGAUGCGGUAAAACUUCUAGAUAAAGAAGUACAGGAAGGCACCUAUGUGCAUAGAACCUUGUGUUUGGGUGUGGACUAAAUUUUCAGACUAUGGGAAAGGGAUUUCACAUUGAGAAUUUCCUCUUUCAGAUGUAGAU